rnacentral:rRNA from 1 species
UACGUAGGGGGCAAGCGUUGUCCGGAAUUAUUGGGCGUAAAGCGCGUGUAGGCGGUCCGGUAAGUCGGUUGUGAAAUCCCCGGGCUCAACCUGGGAACUGCAUCCGAGACUGCAUUGCUAGAGUAUGGGAGAGGAAAGCGGAAUUUCUGGUGUAGCAGUGAAAUGCGUAGAUAUCAGAAGGAACAUCAGUGGCGAAGGCGGCUUUCUGGACCAAUACUGACGAUCAGGUGCGAAAGCGUGGGGAGCGAACAGG